UAGUAUGGAAUUCCAGACAUAUCCAGAACACACCACCCCGCACAAUGUGUUCUUGUUUCUGCUUCUCUCCCGAAAGAAACAGGAGCUUCGAGUACCCUCCCAAAUUCUCGCGGCCGACCUCUCCCCUCUCUUCCCCGGUGAACGCGGGAUUUGAGUUGGGCAAGGAUCCCUACCCUUGUAUAGUUGUGCUUGUAAUUAGGGUCUGAAUCAAUUGGAUUUGGCUUCAAGAUUUCGUCGGUGUAUUUCCUUCAGAUCUAGCCGUGCAGGCCGCCGGAGACAGAGAUGAUAGUGACGGUUGUUGCCAUAUCCGAGUCUGUUCGAUAUAGCCCUUUUUUCUGUGCUGCCCAUGGAGGAUUAGAGGCUACCAGCGGCAGGACUGGCAUGAGUAGGCCUAGGUGUUGCGGGCGCGGAGGAUUUCUGACGGUGGUGAGCUACUCGUUCCCUGCGGCGCCCAGUGCCAAACUGAACAAUUGAACAUGAAGACGAGUAGAUAGAGGGCAGCCUCACAGGUUGGCGCUGUUGCCAGGGACAGCAAGGGCCACGUUUUCGUCUCUGUAUGCAGAAUGCUGACCCCCAGUCGAAGUGUUGAGGAGGCCGAGGCAAAAUCUGCCCUCGCCGGACUGCAGGCUCUUGCAAAAUACUACAUCGGGCCUUUGAUCCUGGAGAUGGAUUGCCAUGCAAUCAUAAAAGAGCUAGCUGCGGGAGACCAAUCCAGAUCACAGUGCUAUGCCUGAUCAAGGAUAUUAAACAAGCACUCUCAGUUUUUCAGCUUACAGUGUCAGCCAUGUGGUAAGAACUUGCAAUGCUCAUGCUCCUGAGCUUGCAGCGGCAACCAGAAAUGUGAGCGACCAGGAGAUCAUCGUAAACGUCCCGGAUAAACUCCGUCCACUGAUGAUGUCUGAAUUUGUAUCUCAUGUAGAGUAGUUUCCUACUCUAGAUCUAAAAAAAGGGGCAGCCAUGCAGAGAUGUCACUGACGAUGAAGGUGAGGCCAUCGAGUCUAUUAUUGUGUUAGUUUGUUUCAAAGAAAUCACGCUAAUUUCUCUCAAUAUAGAAAUUAGUCAUGGAGCAGGCUUCAGGGAAGACUAUCGAUCUAGAACUGGUUGUAUGUCCAUGAGCAAUUUUCUGUUGCUCUGACUGUACGGACAGCCUCUGUAAUUUAGCCAAACAUCAUCGCACCGUGCCAUUACUUAGCUUUUUGCACACAAUUCUUGUUUGUUACGGUGGUGCCAAACUGCCAAUAGAAGACAAGUUGACCUGUUGAACAACGCCACAAAUGCAUAGUUGUAUGUUAUCUAGGGUUGUACGACCUUGAGUUACAAGAGGUCCAGUACUAAUUUUGUGUGUGUGUGCGUACAUGUGCAUUCACCCGUUCUACAUACACAUGAUUUCAAAGUAUCUUUUACUGUACAUUUUGUUUCUUUGCUGAGUUCAAAUUGCAAGUAUUGUUCAUUGUUUUUUCAUUUUGUCUAAAUAUACUACAAACUCUCUAAAGGCUCAACUUUUUCCCCUUUGUAUGAAUAUAUCACAGACAGUUAUGUAUAAAAUAGUGAUUGUCUGAUGUUCUCUUAGGUGAGCAGAUGGAUGAAAUGAAAACCCCAUAAUUAAUAUUGUUGUUACAUAUGUUUUGAGCAAACAACUAAAAUAAGGGUGUACUGUCUGGUGGUUUGGGAGAUUUGGUAUGAGCCCAGUCGUCGCAUCUUUCACAAUUUGGAGUUAUCAGCUGUGACAGUGGCAGGCCAUGCAACUUCACAAGGCCGAUGUUGGAAGGACGAUGACGCAUGGCACGUCAUUUAGCAUAGUAGUCUAGCUUAGUGAACCCUGAUCAUUUUGUUUGUACUUUUUAUAUAAACUCUCUUAUGCAUGCAAGUUCUGUAUUAAGCGUUUUUAUUUUGUGUUUUCCUUUUUCAUGUGAGUUCUCUUGAUCAGUUCCUGAUUGUGAGAUGUUUUGAGACUAAUAUACUUAGCAAAUUAUUUUAGCAAUAUUU